UACGAAGGAUCCAAGCGUUAUCCGGAUUUAUUGGGUUUAAAGGGUGCGUAGGCGGAUUGAUAAGUCAGUGGUGAAAGCCUGCAGCUUAACUGCAGAACUGCCAUUGAUACUGUCAAUCUUGAAUAUGUUUGAUGUGGGCGGAAUAUGACAUGUAGCGGUGAAAUGCUUAGAUAUGUCAUAGAACACCGAUUGCGAAGGCAGCUCACAAAGCCAUUAUUGACGCUGAGGCACGAAAGCGUGGGGAUCAAACAGG
rnacentral:rRNA from 1 species